ensembl:snRNA U2 U2 spliceosomal RNA
UCAUCCACUUAGCCUUUUGGCUAAGAUCAAGUGUAGUAUCUGUUCUUAUCAGUUUAAUAUCUGAUACAUCUUCUAUCCAAGGACAAUGAGAUUCCUUGGAAAUCUGGGAAUGGAACCACCAUUUGACCCAGUUAUUCCUCUUCUCAGACUAUACCCAAAGGACUUAAAAACAGGAUACUAC